ACCCGGAGAACUGAAACAUCUUAGUACCCGGAGGAAGAGAAAGAAAAUUCGAUUCCCUUAGUAGCGGCGAGCGAAACGGGAAGAGCCCAAACCAAAAAGCUUGCUUGUUGGGGUUGUAGGACACUCUAUACGGAGUUACAAAGGACGACAUUAGACGAAUCAUCUGGAAAGAUGAAUCAAAGAAGGUAAUAAUCCUGUAGUCGAAAAUGUUGUCUCUCUUGAG
rnacentral:rRNA from 1 species